UGGGGAAUAUUGCGCAAUGGACGAAAGUCUGACGCAGCAACGCCGCGUGAGGGAUGACGGCCUUCGGGUUGUAAACCUCUUUCAGCAGGGACGAAGCGAGAGUGACGGUACCUGCAGAAGAAGGACCGGCCAACUACGUGCCAGCAGCCGCGGUAAUACGUAGGGUCCGAGCGUUGUCCGGAAUUAUUGGGCGUAAAGGGCUCGUAGGCGGUUCGUCACGUCGGGAGUGAAAACUCGGAGCUUAACUCCGAGCCUGCUUCCGAUACGGGCAGACUAGAGGUAGGCAGGGGAGAGCGGAACUCCUGGUGUAGCGGUGGAAUGCGCAGAUAUCAGGAAGAACACCGGUGGCGAAGGCGGCUCUCUGGGCCUUACCUGACGCUGAGGAGCGAAAGCGUGGGUAGCGGACAGG
rnacentral:rRNA from 1 species